GAUAAAGGGAAGGACGGCUUCCUUAUGUAGUAGCCCCUCUUCAUCUUUAUUUACAGAACUUUCUUCAGGAUCCCUUUCAGGUGGGGCUCCUAAGACCCUGGAUUAGGGUACUUUAUGAGCACUAUGGGGGCGGGAGAGGGCGAAUUAUUCAUUCACUCAAUAAAUACUCAUUGGGUGACUGUGCCUGGCCCUUUGGGGUGAAGCAGCAAGCAAGACAGGCCCUCCAAAAGCUAACAUGUUAAUUGGGAAGGACAACAUUUACAUACGUUGGGAGAAACUUGAGCCUGUUUAAAUGCUGAAGGAAAGGCUUAAUAGAGAAGAGCUGAUAUUCAGAAGAGGGAAGAAGGAGGCAGUCUAGGACUGGGAUGGUGAUUCACCAUCUUGCUGUCCUACCAGCACAGCUUCACGUGGCCCAAGAUGACUGCUUGAGCUCCAGUCAUUUAGUCUGAGUUCAUCCAGCAGGAAGGAAAAAGAAAGGAUUGCUGGGAAGAUAGAAUAGACAUCGGUAAGGAGUUUUGCAUGCACCUGGCACCCAAUGAGUACUCCAUAAAUGGCCUUGUUGCUGCUAUAGAAGGUGCUGGAGGUUGAAAGGUUCACAGAUCCCUGCUGUACAGUUACCUUUCUUUGACCUUCUGAUAAACUCCAGGAAAUGGUUUUGUCGGGUCAGAAGAUGCACAUUUUUAAAAGGUUUUGCUGCAAUUGGAAAAUUGUCUUCCAGUUUGCAGGUGCAGUUUCCAGUCAUCCAGCAUAUAAAAGGGCCUGUUCUCCUGCCUCCAACCUGCAGCCAGGGGUCCUGGGAUUCUGCAUCCCCUGGGCCACUCUGCUCUUUAAUACUGAAGUGAAAAUCACCUAAGUGUCAGCCCGGGAGACCACGCCUUCCAAGGCUCGCUUUGCCAGUGACUUCCAAGCAAUGCUUUCUGUUUCCUGCUCUGACCUGGUUGCCACUCAUCACCUCGGUCACCUCCCUUCCUCUGGGCCACUGCCCUUCUCCCCAGAAAUGGGUAACCUCCUGCCAUCUGGUGACAUCUCCAGGCUUCAGCUCUCAGGAUGGCUUCUCUGGGCUCAGCACCCUCCCUGAAUUCCCUAAAACACAACUACCACCAACCUGACAAAACCUGGCUGCAGGUUUGGGGAGAACAAAAGGCAGAUUUAAAUCGCAGAUCAGGGACUUCCCUGGUGGUCCGGUGGUUAAGACUCCGUGCUCCCAAUGCAGGGGGGCCUGGGUUCAAUCCCUGGUCAGGGAACUAGAUCCCACAUGCCGUAACUAAGAGUCCACAGGCCGCAACUAAAGACCCAGCACAGCCAAAUAAAUAAAUAAAUAUUUAAAAAUUAAAAAUAAACUGGAAGUCCACAGUCUGGGAUUCUUCACGGGGGCCACAUGCCUGCUUUCUUCUUAGCCCCCACUGGCCUCUGUGCAGGGGCUCAGUGAGUGCCCUUGACUGGGUCCCUAUUGCCCAGCAUGUAGACCUCUCCAGCCCCCCACCCCAGGGGAGAAGAAAUCCUGGCCUCCCGUCUAAAGCUUGCUUCACCUCCUUCUCCUGCACCCUCCUGCACAGAGCAGUCCAAAAUCGAGAUUAAGGGGGAAAAAAAGUUCUUUAACUAGCUGACCCAGUUUAUAUAACUGAAUAGAAUACUUAACAUCUUAGUCUAAAGCAGCUGUCUUUGGGCGUCCCCAAGAACAGCAGGAAGCUCUUACUUCACAGCUGCCUGACCAAGAGGGCUCAAGAAAGUGGUCUUUCCAAAACAAUCCAGAACAAAGGGAGGAUCGUCUCUGUAAACAGAUCCCCUCUGCUGCCCUAGAAUGCAAAAGAUGUUUAUAACCUUUACGAUUGUCACAGUUUCUACCAUCGGCAGUUUUAUGAUGCAUUCUCCCAUGGCGCCCCAUGAUGCUCUCAUUUUAUUAAAAUGAAUGUUUGAUAAUUUAGUAAAAUUUAUUUUUUUUAAUUAAUUAAUUUAUUUUGGCUGCAUUGGGUCUUCAUUGCUGC